rnacentral:rRNA from 1 species
UACGGAAGGGGCAAGCGUUGUUCGGAAUCAUUGGGCGUAAAGGGCGCGUAGGUGGUUCUGUAUGUCUACCGUGAAAGCGUACGGCUCAACCGUAUUUUGUCGGUAGAAACUGCAGGACUUGAGGCUGGGAGGGGCUGGUGGAAUUCCCUGUGUAGCGGUGAAAUGCGUAGAGAUGGGGGAGAACACUCGUGGCGAAGGCGGCCAGCUAGACCAGUUCUGACACUGAGGCGCGACAGCGUGGGGAGCAAACAGGG